UUUCCGGUUGAUCCUGCCGGAGGCCACUGCUAUGGGGGUCCGACUAAGCCAUGCGAGUCAUGGGGCGCCUUGCGCGCACCGGCGGACGGCUCAGUAACACGUCGGUAACCUACCCUCGGGAGGGGGAUAACCCCGGGAAACUGGGGCUAAUCCCCCAUAGGCCUGAGGUACUGGAAGGUCCUCAGGCCGAAAGGGGCUCUGCCCGCCCGAGGAUGGGCCGGCGGCCGAUUAGGUAGUUGGUGGGGUAACGGCCCACCAAGCCGAAGAUCGGUACGGGCCAUGAGAGUGGGAGCCCGGAGAUGGACACUGAGACACGGGUCCAGGCCCUACGGGGCGCAGCAGGCGCGAAACCUCCGCAAUGCGGGCAACCGCGACGGGGGGACCCCCAGUGCCGUGGCAUCGCCACGGCUUUUCCGGAGUGUAAAAAGCUCCGGGAAUAAGGGCUGGGCAAGGCCGGUGGCAGCCGCCGCGGUAAUACCGGCGGCCCGAGUGGUGGCCGCUAUUAUUGGGCCUAAAGCGUCCGUAGCCGGGCCCGUAAGUCCCUGGCGAAAUCCCACGGCUCAACCGUGGGGCUUGCUGGGGAUACUGCGGGCCUUGGGACCGGGAGAGGCCGGGGGUACCCCUGGGGUAGGGGUGAAAUCCUAUAAUCCCAGGGGGACCGCCAGUGGCGAAGGCGCCCCGCUGGAACGGGUCCGACGGUGAGGGACGAAGGCCAGGGGAGCGAACCGGAUUAGAUACCCGGGUAGUCCUGGCUGUAAAGGAUGCGGGCUAGGUGUCGGGCGAGCUUCGAGCUCGCCCGGUGCCGGAGGGAAGCCGUUAAGCCCGCCGCCUGGGGAGUACGGCCGCAAGGCUGAAACUUAAAGGAAUUGGCGGGGAGCACUACAAGGGGUGGAGCGUGCGGUUUAAUUGGAUUCAACGCCGGGA
rnacentral:rRNA from 1 species